rnacentral:rRNA from 1 species
AGACGCUGGCGGCGUGUUAACACAUGCAAGUCGAGGGAAGCACCAUGCUUUAAGAUUCUUCGGAAGACUAAUUGUGGUGACUUACCGGCGGACGGGUGAGUAACGCGUGGGUAACCUACCUCAUACAGGGGGAUAACAGUUAGAAAUGACUGCUAAUACCGCAUAAGACCACGAUAUCGCAUGAUACAGUGGUAAAAACUCAGGUGGUAUGAGAUGGACCCGCGUCUGAUUAGCUAGUUGGUAAGGUAACGGCUUACCAAGGCGACGAUCAGUAGCCGGCCUGAGAGGGCGACCGGCCACAUUGGGACUGAGACACGGCCCAAACUCCUACGGGAGGCAGCAGUGGGGAAUAUUGCACAAUGGAGGAAACUCUGAUGCAGCGACGCCGCGUGAAGGAAGACGUAUUUCGGUAUGUAAACUUCUAUCAGCAGGGAAGAAAAUGACGGUACCUGACUAAGAACCCCGGCUAACUACGUGCCAGCAGCCGCGGUAAUACGUAGGGGGCAAGCGUUAUCCGGAUUUACUGGGUGUAAAGGGAGCGUAAACGGUAAUGUUAGUCUGAUGUGAAAUUCCGAAGCUCACCUCCGGGUCUGCAUUGGAAACUAUGUUACUAGAGUAUUGGAGAAGUUAGUUGGA